AUUAAUAAUUAAUAUAUUUAAUAAAAAUAAUUUUAAUUUAAUAAGUAUUUUAAUGGGGGUUAAAGUAUUUUUUAAAGAAAAAAUUUUUAAAUUUAUAGUUAAUUAGUAUUGUGAAAGAAUUUUGAAAUAUUAUGAAAAAUAAAAUUUUUAGAAAGUAAUUUUUAUUUAUUGUAUCUUGUGUAUCAGAGUUUAUUAAAAAUUUUUAAUUUAUGAAUUAAUUUCUCGAAUUUAAAAGAGUUAAAUAAUUAUUAAAGUUAUUGUAGCAAAAUUAUUUUAAAUAAUUAUUUAGAAAUGAAAUGUUAAUCGUUUUUAAAUAUAUCUAGUUUUUAUAGAAAAAAAUUUAAUUUUAAAUUUAAAAAUUAUUUAAUUAAUUUAUUAAUUAAAUAAUUACUUAAAUUUUAUAAUUUAAGGGAUAAGCUUUAAAUUAAAUUUUUAUAAUAUUAAAUUUUUAUUUUGAAAAUUUUAUAAUUUAUAUUGUUAAUAAAUUUUAUUUUGUUAUAAAUAAUUUCAUUUUUUUUAAAAUUUAAAUUUUAUUUAAUUUUUUAUAUAAAAUUUAUUUAUAAUUAUAUAAAGUUAAUUAUAAUGAUAAAAUUAGUAUAUUAUUUAAUAUUAAAUUAMAAUUAAUUUUUGAUUAAUAAUUAAAUUAAUUAAAAGGAAUUCGGCAAAUAUUUAUUUUCACUUGUUUAUCAAAAACAUGUCUUUUUGUUAUUUAAUUUAAAGUCUAAUCUGCCCACUGAUUUAUAAAAAUUGAAGGGCUGCAGUAUAUUGACUGUACAAAGGUAGCAUAAUCAUUAGUCUCUUAAUUGGUGACUUGUAUGAAAGAUUGGAUGAAAAAUAUACUGUCUCUUAAUUAAUAUAUAGAAUUUAAUUUUUUAUUUAAAAAGUUAAAAUAACUUAAAAAGACGAGAAGACCCUAUAGAGUUUAAUAAAUUAUUUUAUGAAAGUUUUAUUUAUAUUUAUUAAUAAUUUUAUAAAUUUAUUUAUUUAGUUGGGGUGAUAAAAAAAUAAAUUUAACUUUUUUUAAGUAAUUUACAUGGAUAAGUGAUUAAU
rnacentral:rRNA from 1 species